AUUGAACGCUGGCGGCAUGCCUUACACAUGCAGGUCGAACGGCAGCACGGGAGCAAUCCUGGUGGCGAGUGGCGAACGGGUGAGUAAAGUAUCGGAACGUGCCCAGUCGUGGGGGAUAUCGUAGCGAAAGUUACGCUAAUACCGCAUACGAUCUAUGGAUGAAAGCGGGGGAUCGCAAGACCUCGCGCGAUUGGAGCGGCCGAUAUCAGAUUAGGUAGUUGGUGGGGUAAAGGCUCACCAAGCCGACGAUCUGUAGCUGGUCUGAGAGGACGACCAGCCACACUGGGACUGAGACACGGCCCAGACUCCUACGGGAGGCAGCAGUGGGGAAUUUUAGACAAUGGGCGAAAGCCUGAUCCAGCCAUGCCGCGUGCAGGAUGAAGGCCUUCGGGUUGUAAACUGCUUUUGUACGGAACGAAAAGGUUUGGCCUAAUAAGCUGAGCUCAUGACGGUACCGUAAGAAUAAGCACCGGCUAACUACGUGCCAGCCGCCGUAACAC
rnacentral:rRNA from 1 species